rnacentral:rRNA from 1 species
CCUACGGGAGGCAGCAGUGGGGAAUUUUGGACAAUGGGCGCAAGCCUGAUCCAGCCAUGCCGCGUGCGGGAAGAAGGCCUUCGGGUUGUAAACCGCUUUUGUCAGGGAAGAAAUCCUUUGGGUUAAUACCUCGGAGGGAUGACGGUACCUGAAGAAUAAGCACCGGCUAACUACGUGCCAGCAGCCGCGGUAAUACGUAGGGUGCGAGCGUUAAUCGGAAUUACUGGGCGUAAAGCGUGCGCAGGCGGUUAUGCAAGACAGAUGUGAAAUCCCCGGGCUCAACCUGGGAACUGCAUUUGUGACUGCAUAGCUAGAGUACGGUAGAGGGGGAUGGAAUUCCGCGUGUAGCAGUGAAAUGCGUAGAUAUGCGGAGGAACACCGAUGGCGAAGGCAAUCCCCUGGACCUGUACUGACGCUCAUGCACGAAAGCGUGGGGAGCAAACAGGAUUAGAUACCCUGGUAGUCCACGCCCUAAACGAUGUCAACUGGUUGUUGGACGGCUUGCUGUUCAGUAACGAAGCUAACGCGUGAAGUUGACCGCCUGGGGAGUACGGCCGCAAGGUUGAAACUCAAAAGNUAGUAGGCGUGNGACGUGCGACGAGCACAGGGAGGUUAGG